AUGAAGUUAGCGGCGGACGGGUGAGUAACACGUGGGUAACCUGCCCAUAAGACUGGGAUAACUCCGGGAAACCGGGGCUAAUACCGGAUAACAUUUUGAACCGCAUGGUUCGAAAUUGAAAGGCGGCUUCGGCUGUCACUUAUGGAUGGACCCGCGUCGCAUUAGCUAGUUGGUGAGGUAACGGCUCACCAAGGCAACGAUGCGUAGCCGACCUGAGAGGGUGAUCGGCCACACUGGGACUGAGACACGGCCCAGACUCCUACGGGAGGCAGCAGUAGGGAAUCUUCCGCAAUGGACGAAAGUCUGACGGAGCAACGCCGCGUGAGUGAUGAAGGCUUUCGGGUCGUAAAACUCUGUUGUUAGGGAAGAACAAGUGCUAGUUGAAUAAGCUGGCACCUUGACGGUACCUAACCAGAAAGCCACGGCUAACUACGUGCCAGCAGCCGCGGUAAUACGUAGGUGGCAAGCGUUAUCCGGAAUUAUUGGGCGUAAAGCGCGCGCAGGUGGUUUCUUAAGUCUGAUGUGAAAGCCCACGGCUCAACCGUGGAGGGUCAUUGGAAACUGGGAGACUUGAGUGCAGAAGAGGAAAGUGGAAUUCCAUGUGUAGCGGUGAAAUGCGUAGAGAUAUGGAGGAACACCAGUGGCGAAGGCGACUUUCUGGUCUGUAACUGACACUGAGGCGCGAAAGCGUGGGGAGCAAACAGA
rnacentral:rRNA from 1 species